UGGAUCAGUGAGGACUGCUGGUGGGGUGUGAGUCAAGUACAAUGAAUGCGUGUCUUGAACUCUGAGGUUCAA
ensembl:snoRNA